UUCUCUCAUCUUCAGUGGUGAUCACGAUAUGUCAGUGCCUUACCUUGGAACCCAAGCUUGGAUAAGGUCUCUCAACUAUUCUAUUAUCGAUGACUGGAGGCCAUGGAUGAUCAACGAUCAAAUCGCUGGAUACACAAGGACUUAUGCAAAUAAGAUGACAUUUGCUACUAUCAAAG